GUGUUUAAUGUUUCAAAAAAAAUAGCUACUUGUAUCAAUAAGUAAGUGUAUACAUAUUGCUUUCAGUCAGUCUCAGCCACUAUUCCGUUCAUCGAACCAGGUAACACCAGACUGACAGUUGCGAAGUGUUUCUGUGGUUAGGAGUCACUUGUGAUCCAGAGAAUCUGCAUUUAGUAGGAAAGUUGCAGCGGAAGAUCACACUUGGGGCCAGCCUGUAAGAUCGACUUCUAAUAAGGAGCAGCACCGGCAUUUGUCAGGAGGCAUGCAGGCUUGGAAUCAGUGGAGCACUGCCGCCGCCGGAUAUGCUGCUGCUGCCGCUGCCCAGGCAUACCCCGCAACUGCAGCGGCUGCAGCCCCCACUGCGGCGGCUACAGCUUCUCCUUACACCAUGCAGUACGGUUACUAUGCUGCCACUCCCACAGCUGCGACACCUGCCAUUGCCUCGGCAGCUGCAACUGCGACAGAUGUCGCAGCAAACUAUACUGCCUCCCAGCAGUGGAAUGUGAAUCUUGUACAGCAACAAUGGCAGCAGUGGCAGCAAUGGCAACAGCAGUUUCAACAAUGGCAGCAACAGUUUGGAGACAAGUAUCACGAAUCGAUGGCAGCCAUGGGAACAACGCCCGUUCCUGCUGCAACAGUAACUCCUGCUGCUCCACCGACAAUGCCACCGCCGGAAGUGGCUGCGCCGCCGCCUCUGCCGCCCCCAGAUACUAAGCCUCCAGUUGCACCAGCUCCACCCCCACCGCCUGAGGAAACGGCAGACACUACUGCUACGACCACUGCUUCAAUUACAGAUCCGUACAGGACUGCUGCGCCGAAGCCUCCAGAUGCACCUCCUCCCACUCCUGUUACAGUGCCUCCACCACCAAUGACUGAUCCGUAUGGUGCUGCUGUGACGGCGGGUUACAGUACCGCAUCCAGCUAUGGGACACCAUACGCGAUGCCGCCUCCCACCCAACUGCCACCUAUGCAACAGCCACCUCCUGUCCAACAGCCACCUCCUGUCCAACAGCCUCCACAUGUGCAACAGCCCCCUCCCGUACAGCAGCCCCCACCUCCCGUCACUGCCGCUCCCCCUCCUUCUGUACCACCGAUGACUGGCGGCUGGGGGGACACAACUGCUAUGGGAGGAUAUGGCGUGGGCAGCAAAAGACCAUAUGACGCGACUGGAGAGCCACCCCCACAAUUUUCCCACCCACCACCCAAUGUUGGUGGUGGUGACAACAAGAAGAUGCGUCCUGGAGAUUACCAGUAUGGAGGUGAACGUGACAGGGGAGGUGGAGGUAGAUGGGGACAAGAUGACAACUCUUCUCAUAAGACGGAGCCAGACCAACGUGCUGUUAAGGAUAACCCAGAUGAGUUAUCGGAAGCAGAAAAGGCCUUUGAUAUACAGUUUAAGCAGUGGGAAGAGCAGUUCAACAAAUGGAAGGAGCAAAAUAUCAACCAUCCAGAUAAGGUACAGUACAGAGAGUAUGAAGCAAAAUGGGAGAAUUGGCGAGCACAGCUGCUUCACAGGAGAGAGCAAAUGCGCCGUAAGCGAGAAAAUUCUAAUAAAACUGUGGAUCCAAACCGAGCUGGUCGUGGAAAGCCUAACCGUGACCGCAACAGUGUGAGUAGUGGUCCUCCUGUUGGAGGAUACUUCACUACUCCUCCACAGGGGGAUCAACAGCAACAUCAAGAACAGCAACAAGACCAAAAGCAGCAACAAGAUGACCAACAGCAAACACAGCUGAAUCCUGACAGUGACUACCGCCAGACACCUGCCAAACAAGAGGGGGGUGGGGUAACUGACACAGAGCAGAAGACAGAACCAGAUGACAGCAGUAGCAUUCAGGCAUCUGCAGAGACAGACCAAUCUCAGACAGGUCAGGAUGGCACAGAAGGGAGGGACGUAAAAGAAGAAACAGCAGAGAAACCCCCUAAAUCUAGCCCUGUGAAAGAUGGUGUGAUCCCAGGCUUGGAUCUAUUAACAAAUGAUGGGGAGAAGAAAGAAUCUGCAGACGGACAUGGGGCCACUGAAGAAACCGAAAAUAGUGCCAAAGACACAGACGAUCGUGCAGACCACUUGACAUCUGCAUCAGGCCAAGACUCCACUUUUUUGAAUCAGAAUGCUGGUGGACAAAACUCCACUGGGGCCCAGGGAUCAUCAUUUAUUGACCAGAGUUCACUGCAGCCUAACAAACAAGAGGAGGAUAGUGGAAAUCAUGAAUUGGACAGUUCUUCCGAAUUGCAGACAACUAAACAGUAUGGCAAUAGAGAAGCUCCCACUGGGCAGAGCAUGGGCCAGGCUAGUGGAAACACACAGUUCACAAAUCAGCCUCCUCCACUUUUUGGAAGCCAGCCACUGGGAGGUUCUGACAAUAGGGGGCCACCACCUCCCUUUGGCAAGGGUGGAUUUGCGAAUCCGCCACCAGGUGUACCGCCUCAGUUCGGUGGAGCAAAUCAGCUACCACCCAGUCAACAGUAUGGGAACCAAAAUUUCCAGCCAGGACCUGGCAAUCAAUUUGGAGGCCCACAGUCUGGACCAGGAGGUCCCAACAGAGGUCCUCCACCAUUCGGAGGAGGUAAUUUUGGACAGCCUCCUCCAAAUGCCCAGGGAUUCGGCAACCAGGGGCCACCAAACUUUGGUAGGGGCGGUCCCGGAGGUCCACAAGGUUUUGGAGGGCCGAGAGGACCACCGAAUUUCGGAAACAAUCCGCCAGGUGGUCUGGGUGGAUUUGGCAAUCAGGGACCCCCAGGAGGACCCGGUGGGUUUGGAAAUCAGGGAAGAGGCCGUGAUGGACCACCGUUCGGAAGUGGAGGCCCUAGAUUUGGAAGCGGUCAGAGUUUUCCUCAGGGAGGACCGAAACCUUGGGCUUCUGACGACUGGCAAAAGCCACCGAUCAAGGAGGGAGGUGGUCUCCUGGGAAAUUAUCCUGCCGAGAAAGAUAAUACCGACAGGGAACGCCCUCCAGGAUACCCUCCGCCUCUGCUAGGUCCUCGCGAACUUCGUCGUGACCAAGACUUUGGCGGCUUUCGCGGAGGCAGAGGCGGACCUAUGGGUCGAGGUGGGGGACGUGGGGGUUGGCAGCACAGGGGAGGUCGAGGAAGGUUUGGGCCGGGGCCAGGGCCACCAGAAGAUGGACGUGGCGGCAAUGACCAGGAUGAAGACCUCUAUACAGACCCAUUUGCUGACUCUCCAGAUGAAAUUGGGGCGUCAUCACAGGGGGGUGACGGCGAAUGGUGCCACGGUGAUGAACCACCCCCUGAGCCACGUGGCUUGUGGCAGCGGGGACCCAGGUUCAAUUCUCCCUCACCCUGGGGUGCAGAUGGGACUGAAUACAGCGAGUGGUCAGAUGGUCCCGACAGGUACACUUCCGAGAGAGACGCUUACGCGCCUCGAGGCCCCGCUGGACGUGGAGGUGGGUGGGCACCUGAUGCCACCCAACCCCCUGGACGCGCAGGUGGGUGGGCACCUGAUGCCCCACACCCCUCUGGACGUGGGGGCGGUUGGGCUCCUGACACUUCCCAUCCCCCAGGACGUGCAGGGGGUUGGGCAUCUGAGGCCCCUGCCAUUGACCACCUGGAGCCGGCCACAGUCGUCGACUACGGCCACCGCCCUGCGACCGGGCCCCCAAGCAAAGAUGCUGCGGGUACGAAGCCUACCCAGUUUUCUGAGCCAGUGCAGACAUUUGACUAUGGCCACGGCUCGAGAAGAGCUGGCUCUGCUCCUACACCUGGUCCUGCUCCUGCCACUGCUGCUCCUCCAGAUGGCUGGCGACGCAGUGACGAACCGACAUUCCGUGCCAACAGAGCUGAUCAAGAUAACAGGUUCUUUGGUAACAGAACUGAUCGUGAUAACAGAUUUCCUAGUGCCGUAGGUGAUCAGGCCAAUCUGUUCCCGAGUGGCCGAACUGAAAAAGAUAACUGGUUUCCCAGCAGUCGAGGCGAUCAGGACAACAGGUUUCCCGGCAGCCGUGGUGACCAGGACUCCAGGUUUCCUGGCAACCGAGGCGACCAGGACAGUAGGUUUCCCGGCAGUCGAGGUGACCAGGAUAUUAGGUUUCCCAGCGGUCGAGGUGACCAGGACAGUAGGUUCCCUAGCAGCCGAGGCGACCAGGAUGGUAGGUUUCCCAGCAGCCGAGGUGACCAGGAUAAUAGGUUUCUUGCAGGCAGAACGGAAGAAGAGAGCAGAUUUUUUGGGACCAGAGAGAGGGAAUGGCAUGGCUCCGACCGGGACCGCGAGAGCAGAGACCGUGAGCGGGAUAGGGAUAGGGACAGGGACAGAGACAGGGACAGGGACAGGGACAGGGAUAGGGACAGGGAGAGAGACAGGGACAGGGAACGUGAGAGGGAGAGGGACAGGCUAAGCCGCGACAGAGAGCGCGACAGGGACAGAGAGCGCGACAGGGACCGGGACCGCGAGCGGGAUAGGGACAGAGACAGAGACAGGGAGAGGGACAGAGACAGGGACAGGGAGAGGGAGAGAGACAGGGACAGGGACAGGGACUGGGAGAGGGAGAGGGACCGGGACCGGGACAGAGAGAGGGACCGCGGCAGAGACCGGGACCGGGACCGGGACGAUUACGCAAAGCGUGAUCGGGAUAUGCGGUGGGAGCGCGAUAGGCCACCACGAGAUGCCGAUGACAGGAGCAAAGACGACAGAGUAAAAGAGAGAAUGUCACGGUGGGAAGAAUCUGAAAGAAACAGAUUCAGUAAUAGCAGUGAUCGUUGGGGACCAAAGGGAGGCAGUCGUGGAUAUGACAGUCGAGACAGAAUGCCACUGAACUCUUUCGACAAUGACAGCCUGGCCCAGAAUGCCCUUGCAGAUGCGGCGCCCCCUCCUCCGCCGCCCCCUCCCAUCAGCAACAACUCAGCAAUUGGCGACGGCAUCCCAGCCACUAUGGAUGGACCACCGCCGCCUCCCUCACUUGCUCCUUCGACUCAGGAACCAGUCGUACGUUCUGUCAUGGUGGAAGAUUUGCUGCAGAGUCCUGGGAGACUGCAACGCCCCACGAGAAUCGUCGUCAUACUUAGAGGUCCUCCCGGGUCUGGGAAGACAUUCGUCGCAAAACUCAUCAAGGAUAAAGAAGUUGAAAUGGGUGGUUCAGCUCCUAGAAUUCUCUGCCUUGAUGAUUACUUUAUGGUCGAAUCUGAGAAAGAAGAUAAAGAUCCAGAAACAGGGCGGAAGAUUAUUACCAAGGUGAUGGUGUACGAGUAUGAAGCAGGCAUGGAUAAGCAUUACCAUGGUUCAUUGUUGAAAGCAUUCAAGAAAACAGUGAAUGAUGGAUACUUUCCCUUUAUAAUUGUUGACUGCAUCAAUGAUAAAGUAAAGCAAUUUGAAGAAAUGUGGAGCUAUGCAAAGCAGAAGGGUUUUCAGGUAUACAUCUGUGAAAUGGAUAUGGAUGCUUCAGUGUGCUCGAAGAGGAACAUUCACAAUCGUUCAGAGAAAGACAUCAGUGAGAUCAUCGAAAACUGGGAGCCUACUCCAAAACACUACCUUCGCCUUGAUGUUCGCUCAUUGCUACAAUCGGUCGCUAUCACGGAGGUGGAAAUGGAGGAUACUGCAGCUGAUGUGGAAAAGGACGACUCAAAAGCUGUAACUGAAACACAAGACAGUAUAGCUGACAAGGAACCAGAGGGAGAUGAAACUGAGAAGGAUGGUGAUGAGGACACGCAAGCAGCUCAGUGGAACUCUCUGUCACCCUCAGACAUCGGCAGAGAAACAGCACUGUUCCCUGUUCUUCACGCCCUUAUGCACAGUGCGCUGCUCACCACAGUGACCUAGUAUGGUACGAAAAAAGCAACUGAUUCAGUGAUAUGUUAUGUUGCAAGAAUGAAGUGACCAGCUAGUCCAAAUGCUAGAGCUACCACUGCUCCUACUCCACAUUAGAUCUAUGAGGGAAGUCUUUGGUAAUUUGGAUGAUGGAUUCACUAUACUGUGCAUAAAUGACCAACACAGUAUUAUAAUCCUUCAUCGAUAACUUCAUGUCUGAGCAGGCUGGGCAUUUGAGGAUUUUAAGACAUAUUGCACCUUUACAUACUGAAUUAUUCAAAUGGAUUGCAUUGUACAUGAUAAUGCAGAAUCACUGUCAGCAACAAAUGUUUUUGUAGAUUCUAAUGAUGAGGAUCGGCUGUGUCUGAUUAAUAACUUGACACCCGAGCAUGCUGAGUGUUCGUGGAUUAUGAGACAUUGUGCAGCUUUACCUGAUCAAAUAUCCAAAGUGAUAGAUGAGUCUGUUGUACACAAAGAUGCAGCAUCACCAUCAACAAAGAAUGACUGUUUCAGUACUGCGGCUGAAAUCAUUGGCAGGAAAUGAGGAUGACGUUUUAUCAUCAGAUGAUGAAGCAUUCUACACCACUGUCUGGGCUAAAGAGAACUUUAAUGUGGAGUAAUGAAUAACAUAUUUUCCUUCUGGUAUUGUAAUUAUGUACAUCAUUGUCUCUUUUGAACUGUAGUGGAUUAUCUGCAACAGACUGUAUGAGGGAGUAAAUGUACUGUGAAGCAGUUGUCAGAAUGCCCAACUCCUUAAACAGAUGUGUACAAGAUGAUUGUGGUAUGUAGGACUGGACUGAUUACAAUGCUAGUGUCAUCUGCAAUAAGAACUAAUUCAGCUUGUUGGGUAUUAGAUGGAAGAUUGUUUACACAUGGGAGGAAUGGUAGUGGACCUAAGAUUGAGCCUUAGAGAACCCAAUUUGUGAUUUCUUCCCAACCAGAAUAAUGUGCCCAGACAAUAUUUGUUGGCUUACUAAGUACAAUUUAAUGCAUUCUUUUGGUUAGACAUCACAUUAUCAAUUGGUUAGCUAUACCCUCAAUCCCAUAAAACUUCAAUUUUUCUUGGAGAAUACUGUUUUCACUAGUUAGAUGCCUUAGAUAUACUGUAAAAAAUAUCAGCUGGCACUUUUUUAUUAUUUAAUGAUUAUGUAAUGUUGUGAGUGAAUGUGUAAAUGCAAUUCUCAGUAGAGCAACUCUGUUAAACCUCCACUGUGAUUUGCUGAGGAUGUUAUUAUUGCUAAGUUGAGAUACUGUUAGAGAAUACAUCACGUUCUCAAAAAUUUUGCAAAAUAAUGCAGGCAGUGAAACAGGUUGGUAUCUGUAAAUAAUCUUCAUGGGUUUGCCACCACCUGCUGGUUUGUGGCACUAUACGUAUGUUACUUGAUUUUUGAAUAAUCUUUCGUUGUAAUUUUGAGUAGUUUUUGUAGUAUGUAAGUACUGCAGGAUCUCUACUUCUUCUUGCCAAAAGGUACCUUUUUCUUUUCCUUUCACAAAAUACUUUAAUCCCUCUAGUGAUCCACGAUUUUUUGCGUGGCUGUUUAAUGUCCUUUCUGGUAAGCUUAUAUGAGAGGCUGUUUUCAAAUAAUGAUAUGAAUCUAUUAUGGAGUAAAUUAAAUUUUAUGUAAGCAUUUGCUUCAUAACAAAUUGUGUCUCAGCUCAUCUCUUUAAACCAUUCUUAGAAAUAUUAGUUUUGGAGUCAUUAAUUAUUCUAACUGAUUUCCACUGAGGCACUGUGUUAUUUAUACCAAGUAACUGUGCAUCAAGAUCAGGGAGAGCAUUUGUUAUUGAGUAAACAAUUAUUUUCUUGUUCUGAAUCCCAGCAAAGAAAGCAUUAUCAAUUAUGUUCCUUUUUUCUUAAUCAACCUGUGCUGGAAAGUUAAUUAUUGAGAUCGAAUUGAAGGAUCCAAAUAAAGUUGCCAGAUCAUUUUUCCUAUUAGAAUCCUUUAGAAAAUCUGCAUUGAAGUCACAACAGAUUAUUAACUCCUUGCUGCUGUCUGACAGAGUACACAGCAAGGAAUCCAAAUUCAGUUCAAAAUUUCCCACUGGGGCUCUGUAUAUCAUUGCAAUUAAAAGUGAACUGUUUUUUGUAAUUCAGAACUGUAGUAAUCAGCUUCUUCCAGUUGAAGUAUUCAUCAAUAGGUACACCCACCAAUUUCAUGCAUUCUACCAUAUUUACUGACUGAUGCUGUAUGUUACAUCAAUUAUUGUUAUGGCUAUUUGUUGUACAGAAAUGAAUACAGUGUGUAUGAUAUUGCAGUGCCAAUGUUUUUCCAAAUACAAUAUGGAGUUCCUUUGGACAAGAAUGCAUAUCUGAAGAAACUUCACAUUGUAUUUGGAAUAACACAGGCACUGCAAUAUCAUACUUAUCUGCUGACAACAGGCAAACAACUUUCAAGUGGAAUGUCUCCCCAGUACAGAAAUAUAUGUAAUGGAUGUAUGAGUACAGGUUGUAGACACAUGGUUGACAACAUAUGGAAAUUCAGGUCUGGCUAUGAGUAAUGCUUGGAUAGCCAAAUGGUAAGAUGGCCACUUGUAAUGAGUGGGAAAUAUGAUUUCAAAUCCUGGUCCAGCAAAAAUUCAUAUUGUCAUCAUUCCUUUAUACAGCUGAUUGUUGUUCAUAUCUGCAAUUGUGAAUACAUUUCAUGAAUACACCGUGUUUUCUCAAAAUUUAGGGAAAGUCAAUUUUCACAGGACCACUUAACAAUUCUUUGAAAAACAUAAUUAUCAAUCUUUUCUGUUGUUUUAUCCUUAUGCAUUGAUUAUAACACUAGUAUUGGCUACGGAAAGUACCAGUUCUACUUGUUGAAUGUUAAGUGGGAGAUCAUUCACAUGUAUGAGGGGUAGGGGUGGGUCAAGAUUGAACUGUGUGGGAGUCCCUUUGUGAUUUCUCCCAGUCGCCACACUUUUCUAACCUCCCAAUGUUAAAAUUUUUGCACACAACUUUUUGUUUUUUUUUGUUAAGAAUGAUUCAGAUCAGUUGUGUGCAAAGCAAUCCGUUCCAUGAAACUUGUGUUUUUUCAAACAGAAUAAUGUGACUACACAGUCAGAUGCUGUGAAAAUGUCACAAAAAUACUAACUGAUAAUAAUGUAUUGUUUAUAGCUUGUAGUAUCUGUAAGGUGAAUUUGUAAAUAGCACUCUCAAUCGACCAACCCUUCUGGAAUCUAAAGUGUGAUAUGCAAAGUAAAUUGUUUCAACUUAAAAUUUGAGACUGCCCUUGAGCACAUUACUUUUCCAAAUAUUUUGGAGAAAGAUGCUACUAAGGAAACUGGAUGAUACUUAGUUAAGUCUUACUUGUCACUUUUAUUAUAAAAAGGUUUAACAAUUAAUAUUUUUAUCUGUCUGGAAAAAUUCCAUGUGCAAGGGAUGUGUUACAUAUAUUGCCAAGGACGUUUAUAUCAAGUCAGAACAACUUUUCAGAAUUGUGUUUCAAAUCCCACCAAUAUCAUACGAGUUUUUGUUCUAUUAAUUGCAGUGUAGGAUAUUGGUGGUACUCCUAGUUGAAAGUUUUAUAGAAUGAUUUUUUAAUAUAUCCUCUUGCUUCUUCAGCUGAAUGAUUUAAUCCUAUUGCUGCUGCCAUAUUUAGAAAGUGGUUGUUACAAGUACCCACAACUUGUGAAAUAUCACUUUAAACAUUUUCAUUAAUAGUUAUGGUAUUUUGUACACUGGCUAGAUGUCGUGUCUCCUAUUUGACAGUACCCCAUAUAUUUUUAAUCUUGUUAUCAGCAUUAUUAAUUUCUGUUAGGAGCUACAUAUUUCCUGACAUUUUAACAACUUUCCUUAAAAUAUUACAGUAGUUUUGCAGUAUGCAAUAAAUUUCUAUCUUCACUUAUUCUGGCCUUUUCCUCUUACAUGAGAUUUUGGUUGCCUUCGUUUUCAAUGGCUUGCUUGUUUUUCUGUUUUUCUUUGUGAAUUUUGUGGCUAACUUUUAAGGAUCACAGAAUUCAAAUGUUGACACAAAUUUAUCAUGGAAAAAAUUGAAUAUGAUACAAACAUCUUUUUUUACACACAUGGUGUCCCAGGAGAAAUGAUUACUAUUCAGGGAUAUGGCAGAAAAGCCCAUUUGAAGCAAAAAGUAAUUAAUGUGGACAUAUUCUGUAUUCUGGUUUCUGUAAUAUAACACAUUUAAAACAUAUAUGUUUUUGGCUAGUGAAACCCACCUCUGUAACAUUUUUACCUAGCUGAACCUACCUCAUUGCUUUCAACUGCUUUGCUUGGACUGUCUUUUUGACAUUAAACUAUGUUGUUAAAAGUACAGUUGUCCAUGACAGUUGUUAGUGAAGCAGUGUAAGACACAUCAGUUAACUGUGUUUGUACAUGUGAUGGCUAAAAUGCCACAUGUGUAUACUAAUGAAGAGGAUCCAGAGUGUAGUGCACCUGCUGUUGUAAAAAAUACCAUCCAAACUUUCUGACCUGUCAAAUUCCAGAUUGUGUAGUGUUUACCAUAGUUUUCAACACAUUGUGUGAAACAGAUAGUCUUCCGAGUUCCCAUUUUUCUUCUGAACAUGUAAUUCAACAACCUAUGCAGCAAAACAGCAACACAUUGUUAAAAUGGCGCACCAUUCUCCUACCGCCACACUCAGUGGCUUUCUGCGUGUACCAGUGUUGCACAAACAACUGUACGGCAAAUAUUACAUGUGGAAAACUUGUACCCAUUUCACAUUGAUGGCAAUGCUACACAACAUGAAUUUUGUCACUUGUUAUAUGACAGUCAUCAUAAUACUAUUCACUGAUGAAGAAACAUUUACACAGAAUGAAAGCAUCAGCACAUAUCAUAGUAAUGAGUGUUCAAAGGAAAAAUCAUGCACUACACUGGAAACCAAUUUCCAAGUUCGUUUUUCGAUCAAUGUUUAGUGCAGCAUGAUUGGCAGUAUGUUGAUAGGUCUAGCCAUUUUAGAAGACAGAACAAUUACAUGCAUUUUUUGGAAAAUUGUUUGUUGAACACCUUGAGGACGUAACUUUGGACGAAUGGACUGCAUUGUAUGUCCAGCAUGAUGGAGCCCCUCACAUUUUUCCAGACAAGUGAAGGAACACUUACCUUAAUUGCUGGAUUGGUCACAGUAGUACAAUUAACUGGUCACCAAGAUGGCCAGACCUUACACCAUUAUAUUUUUAUGUAUGGGGUUGGAUGUAUUCUGGGAUGUGAAAAUGAAAGGUGGGUGGGAUGGACUCCUUGGUUGCAUCAUAGAUGCUGCUGCCCUCAUUAUGGAAUGUGUGGAGGCACUU